UACGGGGGGGGCAAGCGUUGUCCGGAAUUAUUGGGCGUAAAGAGCUCGUAGGCGGUCUGUCACGUCGGCUGUGAAAUCCCGAGGCUCAACCUCGGGUCUGCAGUCGAUACGGGCAAACUAGAGUAUUGCAGGGGAGACUGGAAUUCCUGGUGUAGCGGUGAAAUGCGCAGAUAUCAGGAGGAACACCGGUGGCGAAGGCGGGUCUCUGGGCAAUAACUGACGCUGAGGAGCGAAAGCGUGGGGAGCGAACAGG
rnacentral:rRNA from 1 species